rnacentral:rRNA from 1 species
UGGGGAAUUUUGGACAAUGGGGGAAACCCUGAUCUAGCCAUCCCGCGUGUGCGAUGAAGGCCUUCGGGUUGUAAAGCACUUUUGGCAGGAAAGAAACGUCAUGGGUUAAUACCCCGUGAAACUGACGGUACCUGCAGAAUAAGCACCGGCUAACUACGUGCCAGCAGCCGCGGUAAUACGUAGGGUGCAAGCGUUAAUCGGAAUUACUGGGCGUAAAGCGUGCGCAGGCGGUUCGGAAAGAAAGAUGUGAAAUCCCAGAGCUCAACUUUGGAACUGCAUUUUUAACUACCGGGCUAGAGUGUGUCAGAGGGAGGUGGAAUUCCGCGUGUAGCAGUGAAAUGCGUAGAUAUGCGGAGGAACACCGAUGGCGAAGGCAGCCUCCUGGGAUAAUACUGACGCUGAUGCACGAAAGCGUGGGGAGCAAACAGG